rnacentral:misc_RNA from 1 species
AACGCAUCUUGCGCUCCUUGGUAUUCCUUGGAGCAUGCCUGUUUGAGUAUCAUGAAAUUCUCAAAGUAAAUCUUUUGUUAAUUCAAUUGGUUUACUUUGGAUUUGGAGGCUUUGCAGAUUUUACAAUCUCUGCUCCUCUUGAAUAUAUUAGCUGGAUCUCAGUAUACACUUGGUUCCACUUGGCAUGAUAAGUAUCACUUGCUGAGGACACCACCUGUAAAUAUUGAUCUGCUUCUAAUAGUCUAUUAAAUUAGACAAUUGAUUUCAAGAUCUGAUCUCAAAUCAGGUAGGACUACCCGCUGAACUUAA